UGUCCCGACCCUUCUCCGCAUUUUACCUUUACAUUUGUAACCGUUACCUUUACAUGUGUACAAACGUGCUCUUGAUGCGAAAAAAAACAUGCACAAAUAAAAAAAGCAUCAAAGAAAUUGGUAUAAAAAGAAGAGGAAAAACAAACAGAGUGGACAGUUGAAAAACCAAAAAGUUAAAACACCGAAGCGUCAACAAUUGACGAAUAAAUUAUUGCAAGAGCUGUCCACUUAUUACGGUCUAGCAAUUAGACGUAAUUCAGAUUCAACUGAAGGGAUGAGAAGUGAAACAUGGGCCGCAUAUUAUCACAAAAUUUCAACAGAUGAAAAUCCGCAACACUCGUACUGUCCUCCAGGUUCCGAAUCGUGGUGCAAGUGGCGUCAAAGUGAGGCUGCAGGUACUUUAGACACCUACGAGCAUCCACUUGCUCUCGACGAUGAUGCACAAGAAAUAUUAAAACCAAUUUAUGAAGAAUUGACCGCCGAAAAUUUAUUGGAAAGGUGUAUUGGCAGCAAUAACGCAGAACAACAACGAAAGUUUCAACGCUUGUGUGUGGCACCUUGCGCCGAAACAUAUGUUUGCCGGCACAAAAAUCGUGGAUAUUGCCACCUAUCUUUCCGCGUGUAUAUUCAAAGAGGGCUUUGCAUCGCUAUUAAAAAUAAUGGAGACCAUGGGCAUAACAAUCGGGCCACAAUCGGAGCAACUCGCGCGAAACCGAGACGAGCGGCGAGUAUCGAGCGCCAACCGUAGGAGCACCGACAACUCCAAAGAAGCUCGAACAGCUCGAAAAAAUGAAAGGAGUGACGAAAUCGUGGAAUACAAACGUUCCGAAGGGAUCCUCUAUGGUGCCGGAAUCGCGGAUUAACUAUGAGUAGAAGUCUCGAAAUCACCUCCGCAGUCCGGAUCCGAUUUUUCGAGAGGGUCAUCUUUAGCGGCAUUUUUAUAAUAAUAAAUAUUGUUUUUAAAAGGAAAAAAAAAUUUUUUUGUAUGAUUAAUAAACGUAGUAAUAAGCUCGAAAAGUUAGAACAUCGUUUUUUUUAUUUUUAAUAGCAAAAAAAAAAUCGUGAAAAUAGGUGUCAUUUUCGUGCGCUAGACCACCGGGUCCCCUUAACAAUCACGACCACGAUUUCGACCUGAACCACUGGCUCCUUCUUACUUCUCAGACAUAUUUAAUACUUAAUUCCACUCUGCUUUCAUUGGUAAAACUAGAAGGAAAUAUGAAGCUACAUCAAUUGUGCAACAGAGUAAUUUGAAAUCGAGCUUCACUCAACCAGCUUUAUAGACUUGCAUUAGUGUUAUCUAGUAAUUACCGACUGCUUACAUAAAACUAUAACCAGCCUACUUCUGACAAGCAAUCAGUAAAUGGCCCUGAGUAUGUACUGUGGCCUGAUGUAACAAUUUUGUACGUUUAGAAAUUUGCGACUCAAUGUGUGCUGCAAUUGCAACAAGUACAAUUUCACUUUUGCUAACAGUAGUAGUGAUGGAAUGUAAUCUCACAAUUAGAUAUACUGUUACAGUGGGAGCUGGAUAUCAAUGUUUGCAUUGAUGAAACAUUUGCUUGGUUGAAUAGUUUAUUCGUUCAAUUUUUUUCAUCUUUUAAAAAUUAUGUAUAAAAAUAUAAAUCAAUAAUAACUUGCAUCAUAAAAUAUUAUUUUGUGGAAACUUUUCUUUCGUUUCCAAUGUGAGAAAUGAGAAAAAAAAAAACUUAUUUUAUUAGCAUUUCACAGAUUCGAUUAUAGUCAGACAUUUGUAUAUAAUACACACACAUAUAUAUAUAUACUUAUAAUAUAAUGUUUCUGAACUAAUCAUCUGGACUUAUGAGAUCAUUUAAAUAACGUUCUUGGUAUGAUUCCGCUUCUGCGUUUUGUUUUUGGUAUUGUCGGUUCGAGAUUUCUCUAAAACGUAAGCUUAUCACUACGUAAAACUUACAGUUGAACAAAAUUAUGUCAACAGAGAAUCUAAAUUAAUCAAAUGUUUAUAAUGAAUAACUUGAUACUAGCGUUCUGGCGUUUAAAUUAUAGUUGUACUUUGACGAUUUGAAAAUAGUUAUAGAGGAGAAAAACUGAUUUUUUUCAAAUUCAGUUCAAACGAAACUAUUUUUUCGCGCAAUGCUUACUUAUCACCAAGUCAAAAUAUUGAAAGGUUAAAUGUGUACUACACAAUCAAGACAACAGAAAAUUAAGCAAGUGGGUGAAAAGAAACUAAGACUUGAUCAAUUGGUCCCCUGUUCACCUCUGCAUAACAUACGAAAGUCUGAUUUAUUGACGCACCUUUUCAAUAUCUAACUAUCGAUUAUCAAGUUCCGUGCAGAAUCUUUUAGCUUACGUACUCGUAAAUUAUCACUUGCGUACAAAGCUCACGAGUAAAAAAAAAAAAAAAAAAUAAAACCAAAAUAUGUUAUACUUCGUGAUAAACUAUAAAGUAACUUUAUCCCUUAUUUGUUUAGGAUGGAAUCCUAUUUCAGAUUAACCCAAGAAGCAAUGCACGAUACUUUUCCACAUUUGAGUACAUUCUUCUGGAUGGAAUGUUUUCCGAAUGCUUGAAAAGAAAUAAUCUCAAGAAUAACCAAAUGAGUGUAAUCAUACAUGCAGAUGCGAUGAACUGACGGUAGGAAAAACAGAAUCAAAAAGUUCUACAAAAUUCAUCGCAUCAGUAAUAAAUGAAACGUUACUCAAGUAUAUAAAAUAAGUAAUGAAAAAGCUAAGGUC
rnacentral:lncRNA from 1 species